CCUACGGGUGGCAGCAGUGAGGAAUAUUGGUCAAUGGACGAGAGUCUGAACCAGCCAAGUAGCGUGAAGGAUGACUGCCCUAUGGGUGGUAAACUUCUUUUAUAUGGGAAUAAAAUGUUCCACGUGUGGGAUUUUGUAUGUACCAUAUGAAUAAGGCUCGGAUAACUCCGUGCCAGCAGCCGCGGUAAUACGGAGGAUCCGAGUGUUAUCCGGAUUUAUUGGGUGUAAAGGGAGCGUAGGUGGAUUGUUAAGUCAGUUGUGAAAGUUUGCGGCUCAACCGUAAAAUUGCAGUUGAAACUGGCAGGGUUGAGUAGAGUAGAGGUGGGCGGAAUUCGUGGUGUAGCGGUGAAAUGAUAAGAUAUCACGAAGAACUCCGAUUGCGAAGGCAGAUUACUGGGCAGCAACUGACACUGAGGCUCGAAAGUGUGGGUAUCAAACAGGAUUAGAUACCCGAGUC
rnacentral:rRNA from 1 species